rnacentral:rRNA from 1 species
GAUGAACGCUGGCGGCGUGCCUAAUACAUGCAAGUCGAGCGAACGGGCGAGAAGCUUGCUUUUCUGAUGUUAGCGGCGGACGGGUGAGUAACACGUGGAUAACCUACCUAUAAGACUGGGAUAACUUCGGGAAACCGGAGCUAAUACCGGAUAAUAUUUUGAACCGCAUGGUUCAAAAGUGAAAGACGGUCUUGCUGUCACUUAUAGAUUGAUCCGCGCUGCAUUAGCUAGUUGGUAAGGUAACGGCUUACCAAGGCAACGAUGCAUAGCCGACCUGAGAGGGUGAUCGGCCACACUGGAAGUGAGACACAGUCCAGACUCCGACGGGAGGCAGCAGUAGGGAAUCUUACGCAAUGGGCGAGAGCCUGACAGUGCAACGCCGCGUGAGUGAUGAAGGUCUUCGGAUCGUAAAACUCUGUUAUUAGGGAAGAACAUAUGUGUAAGUAACUGUGCACAUCUUGACGGUACCUAAUCAGAAAGCCACGGCUAACUACGUG